UACGGGGGGAGCAAGCGUUGUUCGGAUUUACUGGGCGUAAAGGGCGCGUAGGCGGCCACCGCAAGUCGGUUGUGAAAUCUCUGGGCUUAACCCAGAAAGGUCAACCGAUACUGCGGGGCUAGAGUGCAGAAGGGGCAACUGGAAUUCUCGGUGUAGCGGUGAAAUGCGUAGAUAUCGAGAGGAACACCUGCGGCGAAGGCGGGUUGCUGGGCUGACACUGACGCUGAUGCGCGAAAGCUAGGGGGAGCGAACGGG
rnacentral:rRNA from 1 species